UUGAACGCUGGCGGUAGGCCUAACACAUGCAAGUCGAACGGCAGCACAGAGGAGCUUGCUCCUUGGGUGGCGAGUGGCGGACGGGUGAGGAAUACAUCGGAAUCUACUCUUUCGUGGGGGAUAACGUAGGGAAACUUACGCUAAUACCGCAUACGACCUUCGGGUGAAAGCAGGGGAUCGCAAGACCUUGCGCGAUUGAAUGAGCCGAUGUCGGAUUAGCUAGUUGGCGGGGUAAAGGCCCACCAAGGCGACGAUCCGUAGCUGGUCUGAGAGGAUGAUCAGCCACACUGGAACUGAGACACGGUCCAGACUCCUACGGGAGGCAGCAGUGGGGAAUAUUGGACAAUGGGCGCAAGCCUGAUCCAGCCAUACCGCGUGGGUGAAGAAGGCCUUCGGGUUGUAAAGCCCUUUUGUUGGGAAAGAAAAGCACACGGUUAAUACCCGAGUGUUCUGACGGUACCCAAAGAAUAAGCACCGGCUAACUUCGUGCCAGCCGCCGCCGUAA
rnacentral:rRNA from 1 species